rnacentral:rRNA from 1 species
UACGGGGGGGGCAGGCGUUGUUCGGAAUUACUGGGCGUAAAGGGCUCGUAGGUGGCCAACUAAGUCAGACGUGAAAUCCCUCGGCUUAACCGGGGAACUGCGUCUGAUACUGGAUGGCUUGAGAUUGGGAGAGGGAUGCGGAAUUCCAGGUGUAGCGGUGAAAUGCGUAGAUAUCUGGAGGAACACCGGUGGCGAAGGCGGCAUCCUGGACCAACACUGACACUGAGGAGCGAAAGCCAGGGGAGCAAACGGG